GUGCUUGAUUUGGGGGCACAUAUACUGAAAUUAGAACAAUACUGAGAAGAUUAGUGUGGCCUCUGGACAAAGAUCACAUGCAGAUUCCUGACAUGGUCCAUAUGGUU
ensembl:snRNA Gm22783 U6 spliceosomal RNA